rnacentral:rRNA from 1 species
GACGAACGCUGGCGGCGUGCUUUACACAUGCAAGUCGAGCGGAGCGGCGAACGGGUGAGUAACGCGUGAGUAACUGCCCCCCUCUCUGGGAUAACAGUUGGAAACGGCUGCUAAUACCGGAUAGUGGGGGAUGACUCGCGUCCUAUAAGCUUGUUGGUGGGGUAGUGGCCUAACAAGGCGACGACUGGUAGCCGGCCUGAGAGGGCGACCGGCCACAUGGGGCUGAGAUACGGCGCAAGCCCCAACGGGAGGCAGCAGUGGGAAAUAUUGCAGAAUGGGGGAAUCCCUGAUGCAGAAACGCCGCGUGCGGGACGACGGCCUUCUGGUUGUAAACCGCUUUCAGCCAUGACGCGGUAGUGGCAGAAGAAGCACCGGCUAAUUACGUGCCAGCAGCCGCGGUAAUA